rnacentral:rRNA from 1 species
AUCAUGGAGAGUUUUCAUGACUACAAGAUGGUGAAUAACCGUUCUGUGGUUGAACAAGCUCAUGAGAUACAGUGCAUUGUGAAGGAACUUGAACUCCUUAAAUGUGUUCUACCCGACAAAUUCGUGGCUGGGUGCAUGAUUGCAAAGUUGCCUCCUUCAUGGAGGAAUUUCGCCACAACUCUGAAGCAUAAGAGACAGGAGAUAUCAGUUGAAAAUCUGAUUGCAUCUCUUGAUGUUGAAGAAAAAGCUCGGGCUAAAGAUACCACUGAAAAAGGAGUAUUUCAAUCAUCUUCGUGGUGGAUUGAUUCGGGUGCUAACGUUCGUGUGUGUGCUGACAUCUCCCUAUUUACUUCUUAUCAGGUCGCAAGGGGUUCUUCCGUCCUAAUGGGGAAUGGGUCACAUGCUUCUGUUCGUGGCAUUGGCACGGUGGAUCUGAAGUUUACUUCGGGAAAGAUCGUGCAACUAAGGAACGUGCAGCAUGUCCCUACUAUGAACAAGAAUCUAGUUAGCGGCUCCCUUCUAUGUCGAGAUGGAUUUAAGGUAGUUUUAGAGUCCAAUAAAGUAAUCGUGUCAAGAUUUGGACAAUUUAUAGGAAAAGGCUAUGAGUGCGGAGGCUUGUUCCGCUUUUCUCUUUCAGAUUUUUGCAAUAAGUCAAUAAACCAAAUUUGUGCUAGUGUUAAUGAUGAUGCAAGUAUUUGGCACUCUCGUUUAUGUCAUAUUAAUUUUGGUUUAAUGUCUCGGCUAUCCAGCAUGAGUUUAAUUCCGAACUUCACAGUUGCCAAAGGUUCUAAGUGCCAUAGUUGUGUGCAAUCUAAGCAACCUCGAAAGCCUCAUAAGGCUGCCGAGGAGAGAAACUUGGCACCUCUAGAACUCAUACAUUCUGAUCUUUGUGAGAUGAAUGGUGUGUUCACAAAAGGUGGAAAGAGAUAUUUCAUGACUUUGAUUGAUGAUGCGACUAGAUUUUGCUAUGUUUAUUUGUUGCAAACUAAAGAUGAAGCAUUAGACUACUUUAAAAUCUAUAAAGCUGAAGUUGAAAAUCAACUAGAGAGAAAGAUCAAGCGUCUUAGGUCCGAUCGUGGUGGAGAGUAUUUUCCAAAAGUUUUUGAUGAAUUUUGUGAGAAACAUGGUAUUAUUCAUGAGAGGACGCCUCCCUAUUCACCUCAAUCAAAUGGAGUGGCCGAGAGGAAAAACCGCACAUUGACUGACUUGGUGAAUGCCAUGUUAGACACUGCUGGUUUAUCUAAGGCAUGGUGGGGGGAGGCUCUAUUGACUUCAUGUCAUGUCCUGAAUAGAGUUCCCAACAAUAAUAAAGAGAAAACCCCUUAUGAGGAGUGGGUUGGGAGAAAACCAUCACUUUCUUAUUUGCGCACUUGGGGAUGUUUGGCAAAGGUCAAUAUUCCUAUUCCUAAGAAACGCAAACUUGGACCAAAGACAGUGGAUUGUGUCUUUCUAGGGUAUGCUCAACGGAGCAUUGCUUAUAGGUUUUUAGUGGUAAAAUCUGAAGUACCUGAUAUGCAUGUUGAUACUAUAAUGGAAUCUCGUGAUGCAACAUUUUUUGAGAACAUAUUUCCUAUGAAAGAUAUGCAUAGCAUUGCUAGAUUUUCUUCUGAGAUAAUUCCUGAAUCUAGUACAACUGAUGAAUAUUUCGAACAAUCACAUGAGGAAGUCCUUGAGAAGGAUAACAAUGAAGUUCCUAGAAGGAACAAGAGACAAAGGAUUGCAAAAUCCUUUGGUGAUGAUUUCAUUCUAUACCUUGUGGACGACACACCCAAGACGAUUGCAGAAGCAUAUGCCUCUCCGAAUGUAGAUGAUUGGAAAGAAGCUGUUCAUAAUGAGAUGGACUCAAUUCUUUCUAAUGGAACUUGGGAACUAACUGAUAGACCAUAUGGUUGUAAACCUGUGGGCUGUGAGUGGGUGUUCAAAAAGAAGCUAAAGCCUGAUGGUACUAUUGAUAAGUACAAGGCGCGGCUAGUGGCCAAGGGCUACACUCAGAAAGAAGGCGAAGAUUACUCUGACACC